GCGGACGUGGCGAAAUUGGUAGACGCAAGGGACUUAAAAUCCCUCGACCUUGGUCAUACGGGUUCGAUUCCCGUCGUCCGCACCA
rnacentral:tRNA from 1 species